rnacentral:rRNA from 1 species
GACGAACGCUGGCGGCGUGCUUAACACAUGCAAGUCGAGCGAGUGGAUUCCCUUCGGGGAUGAAGCUAGCGGCGGACGGGUGAGUAACACGUGGGCAACCUGCCUUAUAGAGGGGGAUAGCCUUCCGAAAGGAAGAUUAAUACCGCAUAAUAUCAGAUUAUCGCAUGGUAGACUGAUCAAAGGAGCAAUCCGCUAUAAGAUGGGCCCGCGUCGCAUUAGCUAGUUGGUGAGGUAACGGCUCACCAAGGCGACGAUGCGUAGCCGACCUGAGAGGGUGAUCGGCCACAUUGGGACUGAGACACGGCCCAGACUCCUACGGGAGGCAGCAGUGGGGAAUAUUGCACAAUGGGGGAAACCCUGAUGCAGCAACGCCGCGUGAGUGAUGAAGGCCUUCGGGUUGUAAAGCUCUUUGAUCAGGGACGAUAAUGACGGUACCUGAAGAACAAGCCACGGCUAACUACGUGCCAGCCGCCGCAGUAACAC